UCAAGCUCGGGUUUAUCGGUGU
rnacentral:miRNA from 1 species